rnacentral:rRNA from 1 species
CCUACGGGAGGCAGCAGUGGGGAAUAUUGCACAAUGGGCGAAAGCCUGAUGCAGCGACGCCGCGUGAGGGACGACGGCCUUCGGGUUGUAAACCUCUUUCAGCAGGGACGAAGCGCAAGUGACGGUACCUGCAGAAGAAGCACCGGCUAACUACGUGCCAGCAGCCGCGGUAAUACGUAGGGUGCAAGCGUUGUCCGGAAUUACUGGGCGUAAAGAGUUCGUAGGCGGUUUGUCACGUCGUUUGUGAAAACUCACAGCUCAACUGUGAGCCUGCAGGCGAUACGGGCAGACUUGAGUACUGCAGGGGAGACUGGAAUUCCUGGUGUAGCGGUGAAAUGCGCAGAUAUCAGGAGGAACACCGGUGGCGAAGGCGGGUCUCUGGGCAGUAACUGACGCUGAGGAACGAAAGCGUGGGUAGCGAACAGGAUUAGAUACCCUGGUAGUCCACGCCGUAAACGGUGGGCGCUAGGUGUGGGGUUCCUUCCGUACGGAACGUCCGUCGCGUCGCUACGACAUAAGCGCCCGCCGUCGGGAGGUACGGCCGCGACGGACGUAAACGUACAAUAGAAGUUAGACGGCGUGAGACGUCGCCGACGGACGACGACGAGGGAGGUUAGG